rnacentral:rRNA from 1 species
GAUUGAACGCUGGCGGCAUGCUUUACACAUGCAAGUCGAACGGCAGCAUGGGUGCUUGCACCUGAUGGCGAGUGGCGAACGGGUGAGUAAUGUAUCGGAACAUAUCCGCAAGUGGGGGAUAACGUAGCGAAAGUUACGCUAAUACCGCAUAUUCCCUGAGGGGGAAAGGAGGGGAUCCGCAAGGACCUUUCGCUUACGGAGUGGCCGAUAUCAGAUUAGCUAGUUGGUGGGGUAAAGGCCUACCAAGGCGACGAUCUGUAGCGGGUCUGAGAGGAUGAUCCGCCACACUGGGACUGAGACACGGCCCAGACUCCUACGGGAGGCAGCAGUGGGGAAUUUUGGACAAUGGGGGCAACCCUGAUCCAGCCAUGCCGCGUGAGUGAAGAAGGCCUUCGGGUUGUAAAGCUCUUUCAGGUGGAAAGAAAAGGUUGCGGAUAAUACCUGCAACUGAUGACGGUACCAUCAGAAGAAGCACCGGCUAACUACGUGCCAGCAGCCGCGGUAAUACGUAGGGUGCGAGCGUUAAUCG